UGGGGGAUAUUGGACAAUGGGGGAAACCCUGAUGCAGCAAUGCCGCGUGAGUGAAGAAGUAUUUCGGUAUGUAAAGCUCUAUCAGCAGGGAAGAAAAAGACGGUACCUGACUAAGAAGCCCCGGCUAACUACGUGCC
rnacentral:rRNA from 1 species